rnacentral:rRNA from 1 species
UACGUAGGGUCCGAGCGUUUGUCCGGAAUUAUUGGGCGUAAAGGGCUCGUAGGCGGUUUGUCGCGUCGGGAGUGAAAACACGGGGCUUAACCCCGUGCCUGCUUCCGAUACGGGCAGACUAGAGGUAUGCAGGGGAGACUGGAAUUCCUGGUGUAGCGGUGGAAUGCGCAGAUAUCAGGAGGAACACCGGUGGCGAAGGCGGGUCUCUGGGACGGUACUGACGCUGAGACGCGAAAGCGUGGGGGGCGAACAGG